rfam:Candidatus Methanosphaerula palustris E1-9c, complete genome.
GCCAAGGUGGCGGAGCGGCUACGCGGCUGAUUGCAGAUCAGCUACACUCCGGUUCAAGUCCGGACCUUGGCU